GAUGAAGAACGCAGCGAAAUGCGAUAAGUAGUGUGAAUUGCAGAAUUCAGUGAAUCAUCGAAUCUUUGAACGCACAUUGCGCCCCUUGGUAUUCCAUGGGGCAUGCCUGUUCGAGCGUCAUUUGUACCUUCAAGCUCUGCUUGGUGUUGGGUGUUUGUCUCGCCUUUGCGUGUAGACUCGCCUUAAAACAAUUGGCAGCCGGCGUAUUGAUUUCGGAGCGCAGUACAUCUCGCGCUUUGCACUCAUAACGACGACGUCCAAAAAGUACUUUUUACACUCUUGACCUCGGAUCAGGUAGGGAUACCCGCUGAACUUAAGCAUAUCAAUAAGCGGAGGA
rnacentral:misc_RNA from 1 species